rnacentral:lncRNA from 1 species
GCUGGUGAUAGAUUGGUUGUAGUGGAUUUUUACUCACCUGGUUAUGGAGAUUGUAGAGCUCUCCAUCCCAAGUUUAUUCUUCAGGAUUUGUUGCUUUUGCCAAGAAAACAUGUGAGGACGGCAUUCUGCUUGAAGCUUGUUAGACCAAUUGGUUGCUUUCUAUUUGGUGAUGUUAGUGGUAACUGAUAAUGGGUUCAAACUGCAUCUUCCACAUAUCUUAAUUUUAUCAGAUUGAUUAAAGUUGGGGGUUGUACUGUAACCCUCCACUCGGGGAAAUUUAUAUUUUCAUAUUGGCAGAAGUUGGAUCCCAUAUUAGAUCAAAUUAUGCUGAAAUCUUUGUGGUUGGCCAUCAAAUUACAGAUUUUCUACCAACUAAUUAAACUAAGGGUACUAAUACAAUUUUGAGUAAAAUCAUCAUGUGAAAGGUGCUUAUUUGCAGAUUUAUUUUAUAGUUUAUAUUUUUAUCAAAGCAACUUUGUUGAAGUAUUACCAAUACAUGGCUAACGUUUAUAUGGCAGCAAGUUGGCAAAUCUGCAG